CCUAAGGGUGGCUGCAGUGGGGAAUAUUGGACAAUGGGCGAAAGCCUGAUCCAGCCAUGCCGCGUGUGUGAAGAAGGCCUUCGGGUUGUAAAGCACUUUCAGUGGGGAAGAAAGCCUUGGGGCUAAUACCCUCGAGGAAGGACAUCACCCACAGAAGAAGCACCGGCUAACUCCGUGCCAGCAGCCGCGGUAAUACGGAGGGUGCGAGCGUUAAUCGGAAUUACUGGGCGUAAAGCGCGCGUAGGCGGUCUGAUAAGCCGGUUGUGAAAGCCCCGGGCUCAACCUGGGAACGGCAUCCGGAACUGUCAGGCUAGAGUGCAGGAGAGGAAGGUAGAAUUCCCGGUGUAGCGGUGAAAUGCGUAGAGAUCGGGAGGAAUACCAGUGGCGAAGGCGGCCUUCUGGACUGACACUGACGCUGAGGUGCGAAAGCGUGGGUAGCAAACAGGAUUAGAUACCCUUGUAGUC
rnacentral:rRNA from 1 species